rnacentral:lncRNA from 1 species
AUCUAAUCUAUGGUGAUGGAAGCCAGAGGGGUGGUUACCCCCUGGGGAAUGGAGAGGUGUGUUUGGACUGAAAGGGGCAAAAGAGGACCUUCUGGGGAGGUGGAAAUGCUCCAUGUCUAGAUCUGGGAGGUGGUUAUACUGGUUUUUAUAAUGUAUGUAAAAAUCACCAAGUUGCACAUUUAAGAUCUAUGCAUUUUACUAUAUGUAAAUUAUAUCUUAAUUUUUCUUUCAUUUUUUUUUUUGGAGACAGAGUCUGGCUUUGUUGCCCAGGCUGGAGUAUAGUGGUGCAAUCUCAAUUUACCUAGGCUCAAGUGAUCCUCCCGCCUCAGCCUUCUGAGUAGCUGGGACUACAGGUGUGUGUACCAUGCCUGGCUAAUUUCUGUUUUUUUUGUUUUUGUUUUUGUUUUUGGUAGAGGUGGGUUUUUUUCAUGUUGUCCAGACUGGUCUUGAACUCCUGGGCUCAAGUUAUCCUCCCGGCCCAGCCUCCUAAUCUUUCAUUUUUUUUUUUAAGAGACAGGGUUUCACUAUGUUGCCCAGGCUGGCCUUGAACUUCUGGGCUCAAGUGAACCUCCUACCUCAUCCUCUCAAGUACCUGGGACUACAGGUGUGUGCCACUGUACUCAGCUUUAUAGCUUAACUUUUAAAAAGAAAUAUUGCUAAAGAGAAGAAAAAAAAGCAAGAUUCAGACUAGUGUGCAUAGUAUGUGCAUAAAAAAGUGGGAGAAAGAAUAUGAAGUCAUGUUUGCUUAAACAACGACUGUAAGGAUACCCUAGAAUCCAAAGGAGACAGUCUACUUCGGUGGUGGAUUUACCAGAAGGGGCCAGGGAGGGGAGAGGGAGGCAUUUCACC